UACGUAGGGCGCAAGCGUUAUCCGGAAUUAUUGGGCGUAAAGAGCUCGUAGGCGGUUUGUCGCGUCUGCCGUGAAAGUCCGGGGCUCAACUCCGGAUCUGCGGUGGGUACGGGCAGACUAGAGUGAUGUAGGGGAGACUGGAGUUCCUGGUGUAGCGGUGAAAUGCGCAGAUAUCAGGAGGAACACCGAUGGCGAAGGCAGGUCUCUGGGCAGUAACUGACGCUGAGGAGCGAAAGCAUGGGGAGCGAACAGG
rnacentral:rRNA from 1 species